rnacentral:rRNA from 1 species
ACCUACGGGGCGCAGCAGUAGGGAAUCUUCCACAAUGGGCGAAAGCCUGACGGAGCAACGCCGCGUGGGUGAAGAAGGUCUUCGGAUCGUAAAACCCUGUUGUUAGAGAAGAAAGUGCGUGAGAGUAACUGUUCACGUUUCGACGGUAUCUAACUAGAAAGCCACGGCUAACUACGUGCCAGCAGCCGCGGUAAUACGUAGGUGGCAAGCGUUAUCCGGAUUUAUUGGGCGUAAAGGGAACGCAGGCGGUCUUUUAAGUCUGAUGUGAAAGCCUUCGGCUUAACCGGAGUAGUGCAUUGGAAACU